rnacentral:tRNA from 1 species
GUAAAGUCAGCUAAUGAAGCUCUUGGGCCCAUACCCCAAAAAUGUUGGUUAAACCCCCUCCUUUACC